AAAAGUUAAAAAACUGUUUUUUAAUUUUUAACUAAAAAAGCUAAGAACCGGUUUUUAAAUAAAGACUUUAAAAACCGGUUCUUAGUUUUUUUAGUUAAAAAUUAAAAAACAGUUUCUUAACUUCC
rnacentral:pre_miRNA from 1 species